AUGACUCCUAUGGCAACAGGAUGGUUUCUCCAGAUCUUUAAAGGUGCCAUCAACAACUCACCUGUGACAAUGGACCUCAUCUUUAAGAGAAUGGACCUGAUGGAGAGGAUGUGUUGUGCUUGUUUCUUCAGUCUUCACCCUGUAGACUUUCUGAGGGAAUAACACAAAUGUAUGCAGACUAACAUCAUUCUGGUCGGCUCUGCGUCUGGAGAUGGGUUUACUGAUGAAGCUUUCAGUCUUCAUUCAAACAAAAUUUCAUUCUUGAAUUCUGUGAGUUAAAGGCAGCAAGAUAUUUUGGGUGACAACUAUGGCUAAUUUUAGUGUUUAUAAUAUUUUUUAUUUUUCUCCCAUUUAUUAUCCCUGUAGACUGAAAUCAUGGUUUUGUAUUUAAUGAGAUGUAAUUUCUCAGUCCUUUUUGAGCAGUAGUAUUUCUUUAUUAUAUAAAUAUCUGCUUAAAAAUGGGUGCACUGUAGGAGACCAUAUGAAGAUAUAAUGUCCGACUUAAAAUCAAACAUAGUUUAUCCAGAGGUUAAAGACAAAGUAAAGAGAUCAGGUAGAUGAGAAGAGAGGUGAAUCCAUCAUACUUCCUGACCAGAGUUCUUCAUACAGUGUUUAAACUCUAGGGAUUAAAAACAAAUAAAAAAUACUUUCAGAGAACA
rnacentral:lncRNA from 1 species